AAACAAAGAGAAAAGGAAGGACAGAGUCUAAGAAGAUCAGAGAAGAUCAGAGAAGAGGAAGAACAGAGUCAUAGAAAAUCAGAGAAGAUAAGAGAAGAGGAAGGACAGAGUCAUAGAAAAUCAGAGAAGAUAAGAGAAGAGGAAGGACAGAGUCAUAGAAAAUCAGAGAAGAUCAGAGAAGAGGAAGGACAGAGUCAUAGAGGAUCAGAGAAGAUCGGAGAAGAGGAAGGACAGAGUCAUAGAAAAUCAGAGAAGAUCAGAGAAGAGGAAGGACAGAGUCAUAGAAAAUCAGAGAAGAUCAGAGAAGAGGAAGGACAGAGUCAUAGAAAAUCAGAGAAGAUCAGAGAAGAGGAAGGACAGAGUCAUAGAAAAUCAGAGAAGAUCAGAGAAGAGGAAGGACAGAGUCAUAGAAAAUCAGAGAAGAUCAGAGAAGAGGAAGGACAGAGUCAUAGAGGAUCAGAGAAGAUAAGAGAAGAGGAAGGACAGAGUCAUAGAGGAUCAGAGAAGAUCAGAGAAGAGGAAGGACAGAGUCAUAGAGGAUCAGAGAAGAUCAGAGAAGAGGAAGGACAGAGUCAUAGAGGAUCAGAGAAGAUAAGAGAAGAGGAAGGACAGAGUCAUAGAGGAUCAGAGAAGAGCUUAAAGGAAAAACGAAUGUUGUCUAAUACUGAUCUGAUCUUCUUUCUCUCCUCCACCUCAUCCUCUCUCUCUCUCUCUUCUCUCUCCCCCAGGCAGGGAUCCCUCUCUCUCUCUCUCUCUUCUCUCUCCCCCAGACAGGGUUCUCUCUCUCUCUCUCUCUCUCUCUCUCUCUCUCUCUUCUCUCUCCCCCAGGCAGGGAUCCCUCUCUCUCUCUCUCUCUUCUCUCUCCCCCAGACAGGGUUCUCUCUCUCUCUCUCUCUCUCUCUCUUCUCUCUCGCACAGGCAGGGCUCUCUCUCUCUCUCAAUUUCUCUCAAUUCAAUUCAAGGGGUUUAUUGUUAUGGGAAACAUAUGUUAACAUUGCCAAAGCAAGUGAAAUAAAUAAUAAACAAAAGUGA
rnacentral:lncRNA from 1 species